GGGAAUCUGCCCUUGGGUUCGGAAUAACAGUUAGAAAUGACUGCUAAUACCGGAUGAUGUCUUCGGACCAAAGAUUUAUCGCCCAAGGAUGAGCCCGCGUAGGAUUAGGUAGUUGGUGGGGUAAUGGCCCACCAAGCCGACGAUCCUUAGCUGGUCUGAGAGGAUGAUCAGCCACACUGGGACUGAGACACGGCCCAGACUCCUACGGGAGGCAGCAGUGGGGAAUAUUGGACAAUGGGCGAAAGCCUGAUCCAGCAAUGCCGCGUGAGUGAUGAAGGCCUUAGGGUUGUAAAGCUCUUUUACCCGGGAUGAUAAUGACAGUACCGAGAGAAUAAGCUCCGGCUAACUCCGUGCCAGCAGCCGCGGUAAUACGGAGGGAGCUAGCGUUGUUCGGAAUUACUGGGCGUAAAGCGUGCGUAGGCGGUUAUUCAAGUCAGAGGUGAAAGCCCGGGGCUCAACCCCGGAACUGCCUUUGAAACUAGAUAGCUAGAAUCUUGGAGAGGUCAGUGGAAUUCCGAGU
rnacentral:rRNA from 1 species